AUUGAACGCUGGCGGCAUGCCUUACACAUGCAAGUCGAACGGUAACGGGCCUUCGGGUGCCGACGAGUGGCGAACGGGUGAGUAAUACAUCGGAACGUGCCCGAUCGUGGGGGAUAACGAGGCGAAAGCUUUGCUAAUACCGCAUACGAUCUACGGAUGAAAGCAGGGGACCGCAAGGCCUUGCGCGGACGGAGCGGCCGAUGGCAGAUUAGGUAGUUGGUGGGAUAAAAGCUUACCGAGCCGACGAUCUGUAGCUGGUCUGAGAGGAUGAUCAGCCACACUGGGACUGAGACACGGCCCAGACUCCUACGGGAGGCAGCAGUGGGGAAUUUUGGACAAUGGGCGCAAGCCUGAUCCAGCCAUGCCGCGUGCAGGAUGAAGGCCUUCGGGUUGUAAACUGCUUUUGUACGGAACGAAAAGCCUUCUUUUAAUACAGGAGGGUCAUGACGGUACCGUAAGAAUAAGCACCGGCUAAUUACGUG
rnacentral:rRNA from 1 species